AACGAACGCUGGCGGCAUGCCUAACACAUGCAAGUCGAACGAGACCUUCGGGUCUAGUGGCGCACGGGUGCGUAACGCGUUGGAACCUUCCCUUAGGUUCGGAAUAACUCCCCGAAAGGGGUGCUAAUACCGGUUAAUGUCUUCGGACCAAAGAUUUAUCGCCUUUUGAUGGGCCCGCGUUGGAUUAGCUAGUUGGUAGGGUAAAAGCCUACCAAGGCGACGAUCCAUAGCUGUUCUGAGAGGAUGAUCAGCCACACUGGGACUGAGACACGGCCCAGACUCCUACGGGAGGCAGCAGUGGGGAAUAUAGGACAAUGGGCGAAAGCCUGAUCCAGCAAUGCCGCGUGAGUGAUGAAGGCCUUAGGGUUGUAAAGCUCUUUUAACCGGGAUGAUAAUGACAGUACCGGGAGAAUAAGCACCGGCUAACUCCGUG
rnacentral:rRNA from 1 species